rnacentral:rRNA from 1 species
GACGAACGCUGGCGGCGCGCUUAACACAUGCAAGUCGAACGGUAAGGCCCUUCGGGGUACACGAGUGGCGAACGGGUGAGUAACACGUGGGUGAUCUGCCCUGCACUUCGGGAUAAGCCUGGGAAACUGGGUCUAAUACCGGAUAGGACCCUGGGAUGCAUGUCCUGGGGUGGAAAGCUUUUGCGGUGUGGGAUGGGCCCGCGGCCUAUCAGCUUGUUGGUGGGGUGAUGGCCUACCAAGGCGACGACGGGUAGCCGGCCUGAGAGGGGGACCGGCCACACUGGGACUGAGAUACGGCCCAGACGCCUACGGGAGGCAGCAGUGGGGAAUAUUGCACAAUGGGCGCAAGCCUGAUGCAGCGACGCCGCGUGAGGGAUGACGGCCUUCGGGUUGUAAACCUCUUUCAGCACCGACGAAGCGCAAGUGACGGUAGGUGCAGAAGAAGGACCGGCCAACUACGUGCCAGCCGCCGCGGUAA